UACGUAGGGGGGCAAGCGUUGUCCGGAUUUAUUGGGCGUAAAGAGCGUGUAGGCGGCCAGGUAGGUCCGUUGUGAAAACUCGAGGCUCAACCUCGAGACGUCGGCGGAAACCCUCUGGCUAGAGUCCGGAAGAGGAGAGUGGAAUUCCUGGUGUAGCGGUGAAAUGCGCAGAUAUCAGGAAGAACACCCGUGGCGAAGGCGGCUCUCUGGGACGGUACUGACGCUGAGACGCGAAAGCGUGGGGAGCAAACAGG
rnacentral:rRNA from 1 species